UCGUAGUGGAUUAUAUGCAAAUUGUUAAGUAUGAAUUUUGAUUUGAUGUGGUUGCGAAACUAAAGUAGACAUUUGCAAACGAAAUUACAGCUCCAUGUUAAACAUAUUAUUUGUUAUAGACAUGAAAACGAAAACGUGCUGCUGCCGGGUGCUUGUCAUCCAGCAAGCAAGGCAUCAAAUUCUUCAGCUUUCCAAGGGAUCCAGCACAGGCUGCGGUAUGGGCAGGAAAGGUUGGAAUAACCUUCACUGUUGAUUCUGCUAGAAGGCUGUACAAUAAAUAUUUGUGCAGCAAACAUUUCCUGGAAAGUGAUUUCACUACACAUUGCAGCAAGCCACAACACUGUAUUGGCUACAGUGGGGUGCUGUGGUGAAUACCUGGCAACAGCUGUUUGGUGAUUACCUUGUGAACACAUUUGAAGCUAUUC